AUUGAACGCUGGCGGCAUGCCUAACACAUGCAAGUCGAGCGAGCGUCGGACGGGUGAGUAAUGUAUGGGGACCGUCCCAUAGAGGGGGAUAACUACGGGAAACGGUUGCUAAUACCGCAUACUAUCGGAUAACGCCGAGGGGAUUAGCUAGUGGGUGGGUUAAUGGCUCACCUAGGCGACGAUCCCUAGCUGGUCUGAGAGGAUGAUCAGCCACACUGGGACGGAGACACGGCCCAGACUCCUACGGAGGAAGCAGUGGGGAUUAUUGCACAAUGGGCGAAAGCCUGAUACAGCCAUGCCGCGUGUAUGAAGAAGGCCCUAGGGUUGUAAAGUACUUUCAGUCGGGAGGCGUUACCGACAGAAGAAGCACCGGCUAACUCCGUGCCAGCAGCCGCGGUAAUAC
rnacentral:rRNA from 1 species